rnacentral:tRNA from 1 species
AGCGCUGUUGCUCAGUCCCUCUCCCGCAGCGCGAAUCCUCCAUGGUAAGGAGGGGGUCGACGGUUCGAGUCCGUCAGAGG